UGGGGAAUAUUGGACAAUGGGCGCAAGCCUGAUCCAGCCAUGCCGCGUGUGUGAAGAAGGUCUUCGGAUUGUAAAGCACUUUAAGUUGGGAGGAAGGGCAUUAACCUAAUACGUUAGUGUUUUGACGUUACCGACAGAAUAAGCACCGGCUAACUCUGUGCCAGCAGCCGCGGUAAUAAAGAGGGUGCAAGCGUUAAUCGGAAUUACUGGGCGUAAAGCGCGCGUAGGUGGUUUGUUAAGUUGGAUGUGAAAUCCCCGGGCUCAACCUGGGAACUGCAUUCAAAACUGACUGACUAGAGUAUGGUAGAGGGUGGUGGAAUUUCCUGUGUAGCGGUGAAAUGCGUAGAUAUAGGAAGGAACACCAGUGGCGAAGGCGACCACCUGGACUAAUACUGACACUGAGGUGCGAAAGCGUGGGGAGCAAACA
rnacentral:rRNA from 1 species